rnacentral:rRNA from 1 species
UGGGGAAUAUUGCACAAUGGGCGCAAGCCUGAUGCAGCAACGCCGCGUGAACGAUGAAGGUCUUCGGAUCGUAAAGUUCUGUUGCAGGGGAAGAUAAUGACGGUACCCUGUGAGGAAGCCCCGGCUAACUACGUGCCAGCAGCCGCGGUAAUACGUAGGGGGCUAGCGUUAUCCGGAUUUACUGGGCGUAAAGGGUGCGUAGGUGGUCUUUCAAGUCGGUGGUUAAAGGCUACGGCUCAACCGUAGUUAGCCUCCGAAACUGGAAGACUUGAGUGCAGGAGAGGAAAGUGGAAUUCCCAGUGUAGCGGUGAAAUGCGUAGAUAUUGGGAGGAACACCAGUAGAGAAGGCGGCUUUCUGGACUGCAACUGACACUGAGGCACGAAAGCGUGGGUAGCAAACAGG